ACUCAUGAUUAUCGACUGGAUAGGGGCAGAAAAUAUGAUGGAAAUCUAAUAGGUCAAGACUGGGGCUACAAGGAACUGGUUCAAGUUGUGAGAGCCUGACUUGAAGUCAUGUAGAGAAUUCUUGGUUUUGUUUCCUCUCGCUACAGGAUGGAUAUGGACAUCCCAACACCCCAAGGUCCAAGUUCAAACAUGAAAAUGAGAGUGUCAU